UCCCAGGUGAGCUUUUAGCUUUUGAAGUU
rnacentral:piRNA from 1 species